GUUGAAACGCUUGUGGUAUAAUUGCUUAAGGAUUGGUAGCUGAUUCAGGUUUGGUGUCUUUGGAAGGGAAUGUGGACUUUGGUAACUCAGGCAAGUGGGGAAAAGUUGGCAGUUCAGGUUUUGGCAACUCAGGCAAGUGGGGAAAAGCUGGCAGUUCAGGCUUUGGAAACUCAGGCAAUUCAGGUUUUGGCAGCGUGGGAAUUUCAGGCUUCGACAACUCAGGCAAUUCAGGUAAUUUUGGCAGAGUGGGAAGUUCAGGUUUAGGAAAGGUUGGGACUUCAGGUAAUGGUGGAAGCUCAACCUUAGGAAGUAAUGGCAAGUCAGGCAAUUCAGGCUUAGGAAGCUCCGGGACCUCAGGUAAUGUUGUCUCUAGAAGCUGUCGUGCUUCUGCAGAGAUUGACAGAGCAACGAGUGAGAGCAGAACAAUGAGUGAAGGGGAGCGAAGAUUGGCCAUAACUAUGCAACAAGAUCAAUCAGCUGUAAAUACAAUUUAUCCUCACUUUUGUUUUGUGUGUGUUGAUGUUCACUUGUGUUGAGCUUUUAUAGAAGUGGGAAGUGAAGAAUGGGGAACUUCCAAAGGUGAUUUAGUGGGAAAAGUUGUGUUAGCUCAACUUCCCACCCAUAAGACUCCCACUGUUGGCAUGACCAACUAUAGACUUCCUUACAAGUGUAACCUUGCUAUCUUUCUAUAUGGAGUCCAGAGAUUGGUUAGAUUGAUAAUAAGCUAAAAUAUGGUUCUCACUUGUAAUCAUUCUCAGAAAUCAGAACACUUGUGAAGUUCAAGCUUUUUCACCUAUUUAAUAAUUCACUUCUUUCCUGUUCUACCUACAAAAGAUGAGAUUCUGAAGAAUGGUUCUUCUUUAGUUACUUUAAAAUAAUGUUCAACGAAGAUAGCCUCAUCUGCAAAGUUGGCCAACCUACACACUAAACUUUGACAUGUCUUUCUUUUUAUUGAAGCUCUGACUGAUCUUCACAUCACAUCCAAUUAUCCACAAGGUACUCUUCUAUUUGAAAUUAAGAAUUUUAUUAAAAAUUAAUUCAAUUGAUUUCUUUUAUAUCAAUCUCUUGGUUGGAAUGAGAUUCAAUUUUUUUGACUUAUAAAAUUUUCAUAUUAAAAAAAUUGAAACCAUGUGUAUUCUUGUAAGAAUUUAUUUAUAUUCUUUUUUUUUUCAAACUGAAUCAUUGCAAACAAAAGGACUAUAUAAGGUAGUAUAUAUGAUUCUCAGUUGUAAUUAUAACAGUUCAAAAUAUGUCUAAUCACAUUAGUUUCGGUAGAUCUUCAACAAACUGAAAAUUACUAAUGUUUACAACGGAAUCUGUCUCAGCAAUAUGUAAUCUCCAUAUGCUUUUUUAGUUUUCAGAAACCUUGUAAUUUUUACAGAAUAAAGGAAUUUUACCAUUACGGGUGUAACAUCUAGUUAAACUCCGAUGUCGGAAUCUCAACGUUCUGACGGAAUCUCCGUCGAGAUCCAGAAUCUCGAAGCUAAAAUUUUUAGAAGGAUAAAAUAGAGUUUUCAUAAAAUGAAUUAAAAAUUUUUCUUGGUGUGUUUUAAAAAAAAAUAAAAAAUUUAGAGGAGUUUUAAAGUUCGGCCGCCGAAGACGGCUCUUCCAGCCACUUAUAAAAGGCCUUCAACCCAAAAAUAUGAGAACUCUUUCUCUAUUUUCGAGCAGAGGUAAGUCCAUGCCCUUUUCCAGACAUUCUUGCUAAAAUUACUUCAAAUCUCUUGGAGAAUACAUGAGUUUUUACUUCAUUUUUUAAGAUUUGAGUUUGGAUUUCAAGCUUUAAACUUUGGAGACCUCCGAAAAUCGAUUUCCCAAUUCUCCAAAUCUUGGUUGUUGUGUUUUCUAUGUUUUUCAAGAGGUAAGUUCAAUCUUUGCUUUUCUUAUGCUUUUUGAAGGUUUUAAACCGAUAUUAUAAGUUGUUAGGACAUGCAUGAUUGAUUAUUCUAAAGUUUUAAAGUUUGAGUUAGUUUUGAUGAUGGAUGAUUUUCUCCUGGGAUUUUGUUGAUGCAUGUUGAGUUUAGAACAGUUUUUGAGGUCUCUUAUGCGUGUUAAGUGUGUAUGGUAGUCUUUAGCCUGUUGCAUGUAAGUUUGGGUUUGUUUAUUGGCUAUGAGCAUAGGGCAAAAUCAGGUUCUGCCUUACUGGAGAUCCUAGGUUCAGCCGCUGAAGCAAGGUUCGGCCACCAAAUCUGUCUGUAGAGGCAGCCAUUUGGCCACCUAACCUGCCGCUGAAAGUCCUCUGUUCAGCCUUUUUCAGCUUGUUUCCUACGUGUGUUCUUGUAUGUUCUUAGGGGUUUUCUUGAGGGUAGUUUAAGUAUUGUAAUAGUUAUGUUUGGUUCCUCAUUUAAAUCCAUCUAUGUAGGAUCGGACUUUGGAGACUGUAGAGGCUUGCAGUGAGAUAACUGCUUCAGUACUAGGCGUGCAUCAGUCAAAGGUGAGUAGAACUGAACUGAUAUAUUAUUUUAAAGAAAUCAAACUUUUUAAGCAUACUCAUACAUCACGAAUGUCAUGUAUAUACGAUUAGGUUGUUUUGCAUUAGAGUUCACGAAUAUAAUACAUUGCAUAAAUUAUUGUUGUUGUGGAUGGACGUUGGAUGACCCACUAGCCCUCGAGUAUGUUAUGAUAUGUUAUGAUGGAUAUGGAAAGACUAGGGUUGCCUAUUCUACGCCUCUGGCACUAUGUAAGGGAAAGACCAGGGCUGCCCAUUCUAUGCCCCUUGCACUAUGGAUAUGUUAUGUUAUAUUUAAGAGGAAAACCUGAGGAGCACUCGUCGUGGGCCGAGCACUAUUGAAAUCUGUAGAGGGUUACUGAUGACAAGUCCAUUUUGAUGUAAAUUGUUUGUGCUGUGAUGCAUUCAUACAAUCAUAUAUUUUAUUGAACUGUUUUUUUAUGUUCUGCUCACUAGACUCUUAUAGUUUAUCCCCUUUCCCCUAAUCCCAGGUUUGCAGGAUCAAAGUUAGCUCGGGAAGUCGGCUGAGUUGCUGGUAUAGCCUAUUGUAAUAGUAUAGCUAUGGAAAUAUAUUCAUUUGUGGAUUAGAAUUGUGCUUUGCCCGGGUUCUUCCUUGUAAUCCUUGUUUCAUGAUCAUUUUAUAUAAAAGUUUUUAAGUAUAAGUUUAUGUUUAAAUCGAGCUUGAGGCAUGUUAUGUCACACCCAUUCUCAAAACUGUGGAGAUGGAUAUGACCCGAAAAACUGACAGAACUUCCCCUGUUGUUAAUACAUAUAACUCAUAUGACCUGCUAUAAUUUCAAAAUAUAAAACAUAUAAGAGAUGAUUGAUAGCUAGACUGGUCAAUACAUAAUAUAUUUACAAUAAACAAAACACGUUCAUCAUUUGAAUUUACAAUCUAUACAUAAUCUGUCAAAAUUACAAAAAGAAAAGACAAGACCUAGGAUUGGUCCGACCUCCUCUAGACUCUGAGUGGACGAUGUGGAAGGAAUAACAAACUAGGAGAUGAGGACUGCUGAGCGGAUCACCAAAAAAAAACUGAAUAUUAAAAGAAAUAAGAGUGAGUACAACAUAUUCAGUGAGUGGAUAAAUAAAUAACAAAGGGGAAAAGAUAAGUUUAGGUAAUUAAUAGUACCAAAUAUUUAGCUAAAAUAAGUCAGCUGAAUAAAUACAAUUUAAUUCCUAGGCCUGGGCCUUAUAUGUUAUGUUGACCAUACCGAAGCAUUUGAUGAGGGCUCUAGUAUAGGUUUUAUGUUUUCAGUUACGAUGCAUGCACAAGUCGAGUCUUGGUUCAUGUAAUAAUUAUAUUUUUGUUGUUUGUAUGAUCAUGCAUGGAAUUAUAUCAUAUGUAAUAGGAUGUAUAGUAUGCUUGCUGUGGGCUCCAGUGACCUUAAGUCGAUUUGAACCCUAGCACCGGUAGUGGUCUGGUUCCCGGGUCGUUACAGAGUGGUAUCAAAGCCCUAGAUUCAUAUGACUGGGCCUAGAGUGUUGGGCUCAUAGAUGUUAUAGAGGGCAAAUACAAUUAGGAAAUAUUAUAUCCACUAGGAUAGAAUGUAGAGUCUUGUCAUGAUAUAUGUGAUAACCUCCAGAUCUUUCCUAGCCCAGGAAUAAGGUCGGGUCCAAAAGAAGGCACAGGUCCAAAGCCCAUCAGAUCAUACGCUCGAGAGGCGGCUCGACUUCACGAGCCUGGGCCGGCAACCCAGGAUGAUCCGGAUCAGAUAUGAGCACAAGCCCCAUAAGGGAGUAGGCCCAAUCACUCACCAGCUCUACCCGCAUGCUCUCUGGAGAGCAUUAAAUGGCCGUUACGCAUGGAGCAGGUGCCUGACACGCCCGUAUGUACGGGCCUGAGUGACAAGGACAGGAAGCACUAUAUAUCGGGGGGUCUCCUCUUGCAAGGGGGAUCUUCUUCUUUUUCUUCUCCUGCCUGGACUCCAUUUUUAUUUUCUCUGCAACUCUUGCCUAGAUAUACUACUCUUAUUCAUGAAACCUGACUUGAACGUCGGAGGGUCUCCGCUGGGGCAUCCCGGUGGACCCUUGACCAUUUUUCCUUAUUUUGCAGGUCCCUUUCUCAGAUAGAACAUGGAGAGACCCAUUUGACAGAUUCGUCUGGGAGCCCAAGAAGGAAUCAGAUCCACAUAAGAGGGGGCGAGGGAGGACCAGAUCUAACAAAUAUGGAGCCCAGGGAGAUUUAAAGUUAUCAAUAUGUAUAAUGAUGUAUAAUGUCAUGACUAUAUACAUGUGCAUUGAUGAUAUGAUAGGUAUGAUGUGGGUUCAUGUGUAUCCACAUGAACCAUAUGAUGCUAAUGCCUAUAUGUUUAAAUGAUUUUUCAGAAGACAGAAUGCAUGGCUUAUGUCGAUCUGUACGAUUGACUAGAGUCCCAUCCGAAAAAUGAGGGUAUAGACGCCCUUCCUCCUGCUGCUCCGUCAAGAGUGCGGUCAAGUAGAAAUAACAAGAAUGAAAAGUCAAGAGACCCUAUAAUGUCUUUUAAUAUAAACAAAAAGAGAACAGAUCCGAGUAGGAUGUUUGCAGAUGCCAGAAAAACAGUAGGAAAUGAUUAGAGGAGAGAUAGAAGUUUGGGUAUGAGUUUUGAAGUAGAGGGUGUGGGAGAGUCUGAAAGAGGAACAGAAGGCGUCAGACCAUAGGAUCCGCCUAUCCACCUCAGUACCAACCCUAUGCACAGGAACUCGGGUAUCCGAUGGAAAGUACAACAGAUUACUCUAGCUACCACCCAUACCCCUCAUUCAUACCCUAUCCUCCUUGCUAUUCAUUAUAUCCACCCUACCCUAUCUUAUGUUUUCGCCUCCUCCCCAUUACUAGAAUUUGGCAAACUCUAACUCAGGAAAUGUUGCACCACCUCCUCCUCCAGCAAAACCAGCUAGAAAAAAGUUUUUAUACCCAGAUAGAAAAAAGUUUUUUCUUCAAACUAUAUCAUUCAUUUUAUUUUAUUUACAAUUUUAAUUAAAUCAGUUUUUGAUAAUUUUUCAAAAAAUUAAAUUUGAAAUAAAACAGAUAUUUUUUUUAAAAAUUUUAGGACAUUAAUAAUUUUUAACUUUGAUUAGCAAUUUAUAAUAUUAAACAUUAUACUUUUUAAUUAACAACAAUUCCAUUUAAUUUUCUAAGUUCAGUAAUUCUCUUUAUGGCCCUGAACUAUUUAAUAAGAUUGAUGAGGGUCAUAGCAAAAACCAAAUAAAUAAACUGGAUCAAUUUUGUAUAUAGAAUAUAAACAUACAACGUACAUCAUACAAAAGCUGAAACAAAAAUAUUAUAGGACUAAAACUCACUUCAAAUUUAAGCAUGCAUAUAUAUAACAUAUGAAUCAGACACUUAAGAACACAUAAAUGAUACUGAUCAAUGCAAAAGCUGAAGUCAUCACAGCGAGAUCAAACGUUGAAACCCUUGUGGUAUAAUUGCUUAAGGAUUGGUAGCUGAUUCAGGUUUGGUGUCUUUGGAAGGGAAUGUGGACUUUGGUAACUCAGGCAAGUGGGGAAAAGUUGGCAGUUCAGGUUUUGGCAACUCAGGCAAGUGGGGAAAAGCUGGCAGUUCAGGCUUUGGAAACUCAGGCAAUUCAGGUUUUGGCAGCGUGGGAAUUUCAGGCUUCGACAACUCAGGCAAUUCAGGUAAUUUUGGCAGAGUGGGAAGUUCAGGUUUAGGAAAGGUUGGGACUUCAGGUAAUGGUGGAAGCUCAACCUUAGGAAGUAAUGGCAAGUCAGGUAAUUCAGGCUUGGGAAGCUCCGGGACCUCAGGUAAUGUUGUCUCUAGAAGCUGCCGUGCUUCUGCAGAGAUUGACAGAGCAACGAGUGAGAGCAGAACAAUGAGUGAAGGGGAGCGAAGAUUGGCCAUAAUUAUGCAACAAGAUCAAUCAGCUGUAAAUAAAAUUUAUCCUCACUUUGUUUUGUGUGUGUUGAUGUUCACUUGUGUUGAGCUUUUAUAGAAGUGGGAAGUGAAGAAUGGGGAACUUACAAAGGUGAUUUAGUGGGAAAAGUUGUGUUAGCUCAACUUCCCACCCAUAAGACUCCCACUGUUGGCAUGACCAACUAUAGACUUCCUUACAAAUGUAACCUUGCUAUCUUUCUAUAUGGAGUCCAGAGAUUGGUUAGAUUGAUAAUAAGCUAAGAUAUGGUUCUCACUUGUAAUCAUUCUCAGAAAUCAGAACACUUGUGAAGUUCAAGAUUUUUCACCUAUUUAAUAAUUCACCUCUUUCUUGUUCUACCUACAAAAGAUGAGAAUCUGAAGAAUGGUUCUUCUUUAGUUACUUUAAAAUAAUGUUCAAUGAAGAUAGCCUCAUCUUCAAAGUUGGCCAACCUACACACUAAACUUUGACAUGUCUUUCUUUUCGUUGAAGCUCUGACUGAUCUUCACAUCCAAUUAUUCAAGUUAAUCUUCUAUUUGAAAUUAAGAAUUUUACUAAAAAUUAAUCCAAUUGAUUUCUUUUAUAUAGAUCUCUUGGUUGGAAUGAUAUUCAAUUUUUUUUUAACUUAUAAAAUUUUUAUAUUAAAAAAAUUAAAACUAUGUGUAAUCUUGUUAGAAUUUAUUUGUAUUAUUUUCUUUCAAACUGAAUCAUUGCAAACACAAGGACUAUAUGAGAGAGUAUAUAUAAAUCUCAGUUGUAAUUAUAACAGUUUAGAAUAUGUCUAAUCACAUUAGUUUUGGUAUAUCUUGAACAAACCGAAAAUUACUAAUGUUUAUAACGGAAUCUGUCUCAACAACAUCUAAUCUCGAUAUGCUUUUCCAAUUAAUCUCGAUAUGCUUUUCCAAUUUUCAGAAGCCUUAUAACUUUUACAGAAUAAAAGAAUUUUACCACGGAGAGUUCAUUUAAUCUUUGAUUUGAUUUGAGUAAAAAUAAAUAAAUUGAAUUAAAUCAAACCAAAUUUUGAAGAGUUCAAACUUAUUUUUUAAAUUUUUUUUAAGUUUGAGUUUCAUUUUGAACUUGAGCCAAGUAUUAAUAAGCUUAAAUUUGGCUCAUUUAGCAAACGAAUUUAGAUAAAUCGAAUUUUUAUCGAGUUUAGUUUUGAAUAAUUUACGAAAAGUUCAAUUUAUUUACAUAUAUAUAUAUAAUAAGAUUUAGUUGAAAACUAAUACGUUUAAAACUAAAUAAUUUUAGUUAAAUAAGUAUAUAUAUAAAUUAGCUUUUAAAAUUAUAAAGGAUGAGUUUUUAAAUUUUAAUGAUUCAAAUAUCUAUAAAUUUUAAAAGUAUAAUUAAACUAUGCAAGUUGAACUUUAAAAAACUUAGAUCUGAUUCAUGAAAAUAUAUACAAAGUAUAAUUUAGUUCUCUUAUAAUAUUACUUUCCGUAUGCUUAUUUGAGACCGUUUAUAAGUUUGUUCGCGAGCUUGCUCAUAAAUUCGAAAAUGAGCUGAAUUCGUGAGUCUUAAAGAGUCUAAUACAAAUGAAUCUGAAAAUUAAGUUCAAUCUUGAUUCAUUUAGAAAUCAAGUUGAGUUUGAUUGAACUUUUUAUCGAAUUGAACUUUCAAUAAUUCACGGACAAUUUAAUCCAUUUACACCACUAAUAGUUAUUUAGGGUCAGAUAUAAUUGCGCUCUAUAAUAGUAGAACUAAAGAGUUGGUUCUAUUAAUUACCACAGAGCCAAUCUAUUAUUGGUCGUUGAUAGAUGCGCAUUGUGGGAGUAACCCUAAUGGAAAAAUUAAUUGAUUGAAAGCUUACUUUGUAGUCAAUAAAUUACCACUAAAAUAUGAGCUUGAUUACAAUAAUAUUUUGACUCAAAUGGCUAAAAUUUUAUCAAUUCGUCUUCUUGUCUCCUUAACAACAUCCACAUCAUUGGCCUCUUUAUUGAAUAGAUAAAAAAAAUUACUUUUUAUACGAAGAACUUAUAAAGAAAGUUCUUAUAAAGCAAUCAUCAGACCAUCAGAGUUUGUUGCUGAGAGGAUCAGGCAUGGUAUGCCAUUUAUGACAAAUACCACACGGGUUAAAAGUAGCCUGUAAGGAUGUUGUUUGGAUAGUUUAGUAAUGGGAUCCAACAGAUUAGGAUGUGUAGGAGUGAAGCCUAAUGUGCCCCUUAUAUGGGUCAUAGGCAAUCCUCCCCCUUGAGCUAGCUUUUGGGGUGAGUUAGGCCUGGCCCAAAUUUAACUUGGUAUCAAAGCCUCCCCAUCCGAUGUUGGGCCUCCCAUAAAUGUGUCACGCACCAGUAAAAUUCUGGGCGUGAGGGGGGUAUGUUGAAUCCCACAUCGGUUGUGGAAAGGGGUAAUGUGCCCCUUAUAUGGGUCAUAUAUAUAUAUAUCAUUAAAUAAAGCAUAAUUCUUGUAUAGAUUGAGUCUAUACGGACAUGUAGUAUAAAUUAUAUGUGAUUUGUUAUAGCUGUCACUACUAUUUUAUAUUACAGUCUGAUGACUGCUGGAUUUCUUCACCCCGACCUAAAGGCCAGGCCCCUGAAAACAGUCCAUAAUCCGAAGGCUUCAAUAUUCCCCUCGAGAGCCAGGUCUAGCCCGCUCAGUCACAGGGCCGGACUCUGCCUAGACUCCUCAAUCAAGCCGGCCCAAACCUCUCGGCCCAAUAAUCAGGCCCUCACCAGGCUCAACUUCAGCCCUACCAUUCAACCCAGCCCAGAAAGAGGAAAAUGACUAACCUGCCCCGCUGAUGGGUCCUUCCGCAUGCGUAUCAGAGGAGAAUUAAUGGUCGUUACGCAUGGAGCAGGCGCCUGACACAUCCGUACAUACAGAGCUGGGCGGCAGAAGACAGCUAGCAUUGUGGCAGAGAGACAGAUAUAUAUAUUACAGUAGAGGCCACGCAAAAGAGGGGGCUCUCUCUUCUUCUUCCUUCUCCUUCCUGGACACCAUUUUUAUUCUUUCUGCAACCCUUGCCUAAAUAUACUACUCUGAGCCAUAAAAUCUGACUUGAGCGUCGGAGGGCCUCCACCGGGGCACCCCCGGUAGGCCCCUGACCAUUCUUUCUUAUUUUACAGGUCCUUUCACCAGGUAAAACAUGGAGAGAUCCAUCAGGGAGCCCAGCAAGAAGGGACCCAGAAGAAAACCAGAUCUAUCAUGGACCAGGAAGAGGAAAAAAUUUAUCACAGUCCAUAUAAAACCGGUGUAGAUAAGUUUUUGCCCUUCAAGGAAAAUUGGUAAAAGAAUAUAAUUAGUAAAUUCUUUCAAUUUUUAGUAUAUGGAAAAUAAUUAUCACCCAUGAUUGAAUUAUUGGACAACAUCAUCAAAGAGAACUCUAGCAAAGUCCUUUCGUAUUUUCAUAUUUUCACUCUGUACCGAAUAAUUUUUGUUUUUUUUUUUUAAAUGAGAAUUGGAGAUUAGGAGAGUAGAACCUAAGCUUGUAAAUGCAGAUUGAAUAGUCUUAUAAUUGAAAUAUCUAAAUAAAAUCAUAAACAAAAUGAAUUUUAACUCAGAUCUUAACAAAUUAAUAUAAUAAUCUCAAUUUGAUCUAGUGUAUCUUUUGAUUUACAGUUUUUUAAGUCAAAUGUCAAUGAUAAAUUUAAAAUUUUAGUAGUUUUUUUCUCGUAACUCUAUUCCUAUUAUUAGAAUCUCUCUUUUACCGAAAAAUUCUUCAUAGUUAUGGAGGAAAAAUUUUUCUUUUUCUUGAAAAACUUAUCAUUUAUUUUAUUUUAUUUAUAAUUUUAAUUAAAUCGGUUGUUCAUAAUUUUUCAAAAAUUUAGAUUUGAAAUAAAAUAUAUUUUUUUUAAUUUUAGGCCAUCAGUAAUUUUUAAGUUCAGUGACUCAUAAUAUUAAAUUUAUAUUUUUUUAAUUCACAACAAUAUUUUAAUUUUUAAGUUCUGUAAAUUCUUGUGGCUCUGUGUGAAUGUGCUUGGAUCAUGAACUAUCAAUAAGAUUCAUCACAAUCAUACCCAAGAUCAAGAUCAAAUAAAUAAGCUGAUCAACUCUGCAAAUAGAAUAUAAACUGUACAUCAUACAAAUAUUUGAAAUAUAAAGAUUACAGGACUAACAUCCACUCCAAAUUUAAUCAUAUAUAUAUGUAAUCAAUGAUACUGAUCAAUGCGAAAGAUGAAGUCAUCACUGUGAGAUCAAACAUCGAAACAUUUAUGGUAUAGUUGUUUAAGGACUGGGAGUUGAUUGAGGAGGUUUUGUGUCCUUGGCAAGGAAUGUGGGCUUUGGUAACUCUGGCAAGUGGGGAAAAGUUGGCAGUUCAGGUUUUGGUAACUCAGGCAAUUCAAGUUUUGGCAAAGUGGGAAUUUCAGGCUUUGGCAACUCAGGCAAUUCAGGUUUUGGCAGUGUGGGAAGUUCAGGCUUAGGGAAGGCUGGGACUUCUGGUAAUGGUGGAAGCUCAACCUUAGGCAGUGAAGGCAAUUCAGGCUUGGGAAGCUCAGAUACCUCAGGCAAUGCUGUUUUUAGAAGGUGUCGUGCAUCUACGGAUUGACAGAGUGAUAAGUGAGAGCAUAAUGAUGAGGGAAGGGGAGCGAUGAUCGGCCAAAAUGCGACAAGAUCAACCACCUGCAAAGUGAAUAGUAAUUAAAAUUUCUGGACAAUUUUGUUUUGCGUGUUGAUGUUCACUUAGUGUUGAGCUUUUAUAGAAGUGGGAAGUGGAGAAUGGAGAACCUUCAAUGGUAAUUUGGUGGGAAAACUUGUGUCCUGUUAGCUCAACUUCCCAUCUAUAAUCCUCCAACAACUGGCAUGACCCAUUAUAGGCUUCCAUACAAAAGUAAUCUUUCCGUCCUUCUACAUGGAUUCAAGAGAUUAGUUGGAGAGAACCACAGCUAAAAGAUUGACAUUAAGCUAAAAUAUGUUGUCAGAAAUCACAACACUUGUCAAGUUCAAGCAUUUUUACAAAUUUAAUAAUUCACCACCACUAAACUUUGACAAAUCUUCCUUUAUUGCAACGCUUAUUGUUAUUGUUGGAAUUUAAUGACUGACCGAUCCAAAUCUCCAUGCGAUGAAAGUGUUGAAUUCCAAUUUAAUAUGAUGGCCUCUUCUAAAAUACUUCUAGACAAUUUAAAUUAAAUUUCAAUUAACUUAUCAUAUUAUAAAGCUUAUUAUUAUCAAUGUCAAGACUACGUUAUGAAAAAUAUCUUUCAUAUUUUUUGUUAUUUGGAAUAAUGAGAAAAAUUAAUCAAUAAAAAUAUUUUCUUGAUUAAAGAAAAAAUUAAAUCAUUUUAAAAAAAUACUGCUUCUUGGCUCUUUCUUUCUCAUCAAUUCUAUUUUCCUGUUGUGCUCUUCCAACAAAUCCAUAGUCACCAACUUGCCCUUUGAAAUUUAAAUUAUUGGACGACAUCAUCAACGAGAAUUCUAGCAAAGUUCUCUAAUAUUUUCUUCAUCAAUGUUGAAUUUUGAGAGGGAAGGGGAAUAAUACAUAUGAAUGCGACUAAAUAGUCUUACAAUUUUAUUGAUUGUAUUGUUAUUUAUACAGUCAAAUAUAAUUAAAAAAUCUAAAUAAAAUUAUAAAUAAUUUAAAUAUUAACUUAAAUAUUAAUAAAUUAAAAUAAUGAUUCAAAUUUAAAUUAUAUGAUUUAGCAUAUUUUUCGGUUUCUAAAUCAAAUAUCCAACGAUCAAUUUAAAAUUUUAGUACUCAUAAGCCCUUGGUAUUAUUAGAAACUCUCUUACUAAAAUUUUUUAAUAAUUAUAAAUAAAAAAGUUUUAUUUUUCUUUCAUAAUAUUAGAAAUAAAACCAUAUCAUUUAUUUUAUUUAAUUUGUAAUCGAAUUAAAUCGGUUGUUCAUGAUUUUUUGAAAAAUUAGAUUUAAAAUAAAAUGGAUAAUUUUUUAAUUUUAGGCCAUCAAUAAUUUUUAAGUUCAGUAAUUCAUAAUACUAAAAUUUUUUAAAAAAAUUCACAACAACAAUUUAAUUUUUAAGUUCAGUAAUAAUUUCUCUUUGUGGCUCUGCAUGAAAGUGCUUGGAUCAUGAACUAUUAAAUAAGAUUGAUCAGUCAUACCCAAAAUCAAAUAAAUAAGCUGGAUCAACUCAGUAUAUAGAAAAUGAACUCACAAGAUACAUCAUUCAAACAACUGAAACAGAAAUAUUAUAGGACUACCACUCACUGCAAAUUAAUCAUGUAUAUGUAAAAGAAGAUAUAAAUGAUACUGAUCAAUGCGAAAGAUGAAGUCAUCACUGUGAGAUCAAAUAUAGAAACACUUAUGGUGUAGUUGUUUAAGGACUGGUGGUUGAUUGAGGAGGUUUUGUGUCCUUAGAAGGCAAUGUGGGCUUUGGCAACUCAGGCAAGUGGGGAAAAGCUGGCAAUUCAGGCUUUGGCAACUCAGGCAAUUCAGGUUUUGGCAGUAUGGGAAGUUCAGGUUUAGGAAAGGUGGAGACUUCAGGUAAUGGUGGAAGCUCAACUUUAGGCAAUGAUGGCAACUCAGGCUUGGGAAGCUCAGGUACCUCAGGCAAUUCUGUCUCCAGAAGGUGUCGUGCAUCUACAGAGAUUGAUAGAGUGAUGAGUGAGAGCAUAAUGAUGAGGGAAGAGCGAAGAUCGGCCAUAAUGCUAU
rnacentral:lncRNA from 1 species